CAGGCCUAACACAUGCAAGUCGAACGAGAAAGGGGAGCAAUCCCUGAGUACAGUGGCGCACGGGUGAGUAACACGUGAAUGAUCUACCUCUGAGUGGGGGAUAACCUAGGGAAACCUGGGCUAAUACCGCAUAACACCUACGGGUCAAGGCGAGCAAUCGCGCUUAGAGAGGAGUUCGCGGCAGAUUAGCUAGUUGGUGAGGUAAUGGCUCACCAAGGCGAUGAUCUGUAUCCGGCCUGAGAGGGCGCACGGACACACUGGAACUGAAACACGGUCCAGACUCCUACGGGAGGCAGCAGUGGGGAAUUUUGCGCAAUGGGGGAAACCCUGACGCAGCAACGCCGCGUGGAGGAUGAAGUCCCUUGGGACGUAAACUCCUUUCGACCGGGACGAUAAUGACGGUACCGGAAGAAGAAGCCCCGGCUAACUUCGUGCCAGCAGCCGCGGUAAU
rnacentral:rRNA from 1 species